ensembl:lncRNA
UUCUAAUCUAGUCCCAAGCAGCCCUUGGGGGAAGGCUCAGAGAAAUAUAAUAGGCCAGGAAAAAGCAGGGUAAUAAAUCACAAAUUUUUGACACUGUACAAUUCAGGGAGAUGACUAAAGCAUGUUUGUAAUUUAUUUUCCCCUUUAAAAGAAAGGAGUUACUUCUUGCAGUGUGAACACCCGAUCUCUAAAAAUAAGUUACUGGCUUAUUUGUCACUGAAGAUAUGGGCACAUCAACAUCUACAGGAAAUUUGAGUCUCCUGGGGUGGGUGCCUUCAAAUGGAAAACAAUAGAAGUCGGGACAAAGACAAAUCACUCUUCAUUGGGCUUUCCAGCAGAGCAGAUUCUGACGGAGACCAAGGGUGGGGGAGUGACAAGUGACGUCAGGUUUUUGCAUUCCGAUUCCCUCCUGAAGCAGUUCUCCCUGUCCAGAGCCCAUCUGUGGCCCCCACACCCGUGGCUGGAUGCCUCCGUCCGUCUUGCAUGAUUUUCUCCUCUUGCUAUUUUUCAUGCCUUUUUUCUUUCUUUCUACCCCAAGUGAUUUUUUGAUACUGUUAGCCAGAUGGAGACUAGCAGGAGAGAGGGGGUUGCACAUGACGAACACACAAACGGAGGAACAAGCCAACCCCCAUCCUACCUUCCUGAAGGCCUGGCUGCCCGAAACCUCUCGCAGGUGCUGCAGAUACUCAAGCCCCUUGCCUGCUUUUCCACUUGUAAACCGGAGCGCAAAAGGCGAAUACGUGGAAGCGAGACUUAUGUUGCCGAGUGAGGCCGCAUGUGGCUCUCCCCCCUCACGAAGAGCUCAGGAAGGAGGAUAGAGUUGAAGGUGUCCUGAAUCCUGAAUUCUGUCUUCCCUAUACUUUACCUGAGCAAAGAAGAAAUGGGUAUUGUGUGAUCUUGCAAUUAUCAGGGGCUCCUCAAAAUUUCCCUAGGAUCUGGGAAUUCAGAUUAACAUUGGGUUGGCAGAUGUGAUUUCCUGCUUCUAAGAAGGAUUUAGUAAGUCUGAGCCAAACCAUCUGGGACAUCUUAUCACUUUUAAGGAGAGAUCCUACAUUUUUCUAUUUUUAAGAGCAAGUGAAACUAAAGUAUAUGUAUCAAAUUUUGCUCACGAUAUGUAAAGGUAUAAGCACUGGGGUGAAUGAUCUUAUAAAAAUGCAUUUUUGGAAGCAGGAAAUCCACAAACUUUACCAAGCACUAGGACUGCAAUACUUUAAGUCUUUAUCAUGAAACAUAUAUUCAAAUAUGUAAUAUAACAAAGUAGAGAGAAUAAUAUAAUAAGCUCGAUGAACCCAUCUUCCAUCUUCGAGAAUCAUCAACUCAUGGUCAGUCUGGCUUUAUCUAUCUGCCUUCCAUUUUCCUACCCUAUCCUGAAUGAAAGAAUCUAGUUUGACAGCAAAAAAAAGAUAACAAAGAGAAAACAUCCAGUUUUUUGAUCCAUUCUGCCUGCCUUAAUAAGACCUCAAGAUACCCACAUUUGCACAUGGCUCCCAGACCAGCCAGGUGGGCUAGCCAAUGGGUUCAUGCACAGACCUGAGAAGGGGAAUUGCACUGGAUUUCAGAAAAUUUACUUCCCCUGUUCCAGUUUCUUCAUGUUUUCUGAGUCAUCAUAGACACCAGUUCUAGAAGAGGAAGUUCUAGAAGAGAAUAAUGUUCCCAGCUAGAAUAAAUACACCCAACAGAGAUACA